rnacentral:rRNA from 1 species
GAUGAACGCUAGCGGCAGGCCUAACACAUGCAGGUCGAGGGAGAAGCCCUUUCGGGGGCAGAAACCGGCGCACGGGUGCGUAACGCGUAUGCAACCUACCUUUCACAGGGGGAUAGCCCGAAGAAAUUUGGAUUAAUACCCCAUAAUAUUAUUGGAUGGCAUCAUUUGAUAAUUAAAACUGCGGUGGUGAAAGAUGGGCAUGCGUCCUAUUAGCUAGUUGGAGUGGUAACGGCACCCCAAGGCUACGAUAGGUAGGGGUCCUGAGAGGGAGAUCCCCCACACUGGUACUGAGACAGAGACCAGACUCCUACGGGAGGCAGCAGUGAGGAAGAUUGGUCAAUGGUCGGAAGACUGAACCAGCCAUGCCGCGUGCAGGAAGAAUGCCUUAUGGGUUGUAAACUGCUUUUAUAUGGGAAGAAUAAGGCGUACGUGUACGUUGAUGACGGUACCAUAUGAAUAAGCAUCGGCUAACUCCGUG